rnacentral:rRNA from 1 species
UUUAUAUGAGAGUUUGAUCCUGGCUCAGGAUGAACGCCGGCGGUGUGCCUAAUACAUGCAAGUCGUACGCACUGGCCCAACUGAUUGAUGGUGCUUGCACCUGAUUGACGAUGGAUCACCAGUGAGUGGCGGACGGGUGAGUAACACGUAGGUAACCUGCCCCGGAGCGGGGGAUAACAUUUGGAAACAGAUGCUAAUACCGCAUAACAACAAAAAACACAUGGCUUUUGUUUGAAAGAUGG